AUGGGAAGUGAGAAAAGCUGGUGGGGGGAAGACAAGGAAGGAACAACUGACUGUGAGCCUUGAACAAGCUACUUCCAUUUUCUGGCUCUUUAGUCUCCUCAUUUGUAAAAUGAGGGGGCUGGAGUAAGUAAGCUCUAUAAGGCUCUCAGCUGUGACAUCUAUGCAUAAUCACAGAAGAUCGAAGUGUACAGAACACCAUGGAAACUGAAGAGAGAUUCUGAAAGGAGGCUUUAAGAGGUCACUUGCAUCCAAUGCUACAGAGGUGUCAGAGACUGAGGACUUAAAUGAAGCCACUGAUUAGCAACUUAAAGAUCCUCUCCAAGACAGGGUCUCACUGAGUGCAGCAGCACGAUCUUGGCUCACUGCAACCUCCAGCUCCCAGGUCCAAGCGAUUCUCCUGCCUCAGCCUCCUGAGUAGCUGGCAUUACAGAUGGAGUUUCAGCCUUGUUGCCCAGGCUGGAGUGCGAUGGCACCACCUCGGCUCACUGCAACCUCCACCUCCUGGGUUCAAGCGAUUCUCCUGCCCCAGCCUCCCAAGUAGCUGGGACUACAGGCUAAUGGAAUGCUAAGGCCAGAACUGUACCCUACCAACCUCAGAUGUGGAAACAGAGGUUCUUGAAGGACAAGACUUGCCUAAGGUCUCACUGUGAGUUGGCAGCAGAGCUGGGACUCAGGCCUUGUGCUUCCCAGACCUGUACUCUUUCUGCAGCACCAUGAUGCUUCUGAAUUACACAAAAAACAUCAAUUGCCUAUGGUGUGUGAGGUCCUGGGUGGGGUAUGGGGCUGUGGUGAAAUACUAUCCCUACAGCAGCGGGUCUCACUCCAUGCUCGGGUGUGCAUUAGAAGCGCUCAGGGCUCAUGUUCAACAUAUAGAUUCCCAGGCUCUGCCCCCAGAAAUUCUUAUUCAGUAAGGAGCACCCCAUCCCAGAAAUCCUGGCAACCCCAUUCUGAGAAACUCUGCCCUAGGACAUCAAAGGAAAACAAACUCCCAGCUUGCCAGAGGGUUGUAGGGAUCAAGCUGUGAUUUUUCCACCUGUUCCUUAGGCUGUUACUGUUCCAAUUCUCCCCAGCCCAGCCACAUCUCACCAUUUUUUUUGAGUUGGGGAGAUGGGAAUGAGCAGAUGGGAGUUGCUUCUGUGUGCUACAGUGGAAAGAACACGCCCUGAGGGUCAAGAGACCCAGGUUUUGGUCCCAGAUCUGCCACAGACCAGCGACGGGGGCCUUGAGCAGCAGCAAGUCACUCCCCUGGGCCUGUUUCCUCAUCUGUAAAAUUGGGAUACUGAUUCCUGCCUUAGACGCUUCCAGAGAUACAGGGAGGAUUCUCUAAGGUAAAUGCCAAGGCACUUUACAGAAAACAUGAAGCGAUAUUCCAACAGGAAGAAUUAUACAGGGGGAGAAACUCCUCUCAGCAUGAGGGUAAAUUUAAAAUUCAGGAUCUUUUGCCUCCUUUAAAGUCCAUAGUUCCCAGAGACCCCCAAGUUCUGCCACCAGAGCAGCCUGGGUCUAUCAGCUACACUCUGGCCAGAGGUAGUGGGGUGGGAGACAGAGGUGUGUAUGGCAGGAGUUACUAAACCUGUGUACACGUUUGGUCUAAGCUUCAGGGUGGGAAAAUUGAGUCUAGACUUUCAAUCCAGGAGAAAGAACACAGAAGGGAUGGUCUUCUGGCUCCACCCACUAGGAAAAGGGUGGAGCCUCUGGCUCCAUCUUGGCUUCCUAGAGUUUCUCCUGAGGUGUCACCGAGAGAGCCACUGGCUCUGCCUUUGGCACACACUUUAGGGUGGAAUUUGGGGCUGGGAAGAUUGGAAGAAAUAGGGUUGCUGCUUCUGCUCUGAGCCUGCCUUAGGCCACCAAAUUCUCCCUGCAAGGCAGCCAGGGCCCUCAGAUGAGGUGGUGCUUAUGCCUGCUUACUGCCCCCUGAGCCUGGGCUACUUGGAGGAAGGCUGGGUCCUGGGGGCAAGGGCAGGUGGGCAGGCAGCCCUCCCUCUCUCUCUCUCUCCCUCCCCGCCGGCUCGCUACCUACCUCCUUUCCUACAAAUUUUCUUGUUGGGCUUUCGGGCGCAUUCCUUGGAAAUCCGCUUUACUGU